rnacentral:tRNA from 1 species
GGUCGUUAGCUCAGUUGGUAGAGCAGUUGACUUUUAAUCAAUUGGUCGCAGGUUCGAAUCCCGCACGACCCACCAU